UUGCCUCCGUGGUUAAAAAGCCCUAGGGUUUUAGGAAGGAGAGCGAGGAGUGUGACGACGACACCAUCUACCUCUAUGACCUCUCCGCUACCUCUUCCCUCGGUUCCCUCAACCAACACUCUGACUCUAUCACCGCCCUCUCCUUUUACGCCCUUCUCAAUCUCCCUUUUUCCUCCAACCUCAUCUUCGCCGAUCUUACCACGCUCUUCGUCCACCGGAACGUCGCUAUCAACGACCUCGCUCUGCACCCGUCCGGUGAGUGCGCCCUCACCGUUGCUCGUGACAACUGCCUCACCAUCUUUAACCUCAUUCGCGGCAGUCGCAACUACUGCUUGCGCCUCGACAAGGAAUCGUGCUUCUUCAAAUUCUUCAAAUUGGAAUGCUCCAAGCCCGUUUUCUGCGCUGCUCCUGUUAGGAUAUGUGCUUCUUCAAAUUCUUUCUCUGUUUUCUCGAAUUAUCAUCGAAUAUCAAGUUGGUUAUUUUUAUUUUCUCUGUUUCUUUUGGUGUUGUUGAUUUGUCUUGUAUGUUUAAAAACUCUAGGGUUUAGGUAGCAUUUGAUUUGAUGAAGAAAGUUUGGUAUAUUGUCACUUGUUAAGUUUUUCGGGCACAUAAUACUUGUUAAGUUUUAUGGGAUUCUUGUGGUGCAUUUUUAGGAGAUCUCCAUUGUGCUACCGAUGUUGCGUUUAGGGAAGAUUCAGAGGGCUUUUAAGAAGUGGAAGCGGAUACAUCACUCAAGAUGAGCUUCAAAAAGCCUGUGAAGAAUUUAUUAUUGAGAAUGUAUGCUUUGAGGAAAUCAUCCAAGAAGUUGAUCAAAAUAAUAAAUUGAAGAUGGUCCCAUAUAUGCUCAACUUUUUGUGCCCGUAAAUGCCAAUCUGCUCCCAAAUAGUGAGGCAUGUCAACCAGCAAAUGGUUACAAAGUGGUCUUCUGCAAGCUAAUAUGGGUCGCCGCAACAUACCAAGGUAAG